GACGAACGCUGGCGGCGUGCUUAACACAUGCAAGUCGAGCGGUAAGGCCCUUUCGGGGGUACACGAGCGGCGAACGGGUGAGUAACACGUGGGUGACCUGCCCUCAGCUCUGGGAUAGGCCUGGGAAACCGGGUCUAAUACUGGAUAUGACUCCAUGACGCAUGUUGUGGGGUGGAAAGCCUUGUGCGGCUGAGGAUGGGCCCGCGGCCUAUCAGCUUGUUGGUGGGGUGANGGCCUACCAAGGCGACGACGGGUAGCCGGCCUGAGAGGGCGACCGGCCACACUGGGACUGAGACACGGCCCAGACUCCUACGGGAGGCAGCAGUGGGGAAUCUUGCGCAAUGGGCGAAAGCCUGACGCAGCGACGCCGCGUGAGGGAUGAC
rnacentral:rRNA from 1 species